AGGGGAGAUUAGGAUCAAUGGGGUGAGGCAGAUCAAGGACCCAGGACAGGAAGUAUAACAGGAGAAGGAGCAGAGAUCCACUGUGUACACCGCAGGAAAGGAGCUGCAAAAGCAGGGAAUUCACUGGACCUGCCAACAAGGCAAGAUCUGAAAAUCGUGCCUCUUUCCCUGGAAGCAGGAAAGCAAGGGCGCUUGCUCAUCUAACUACAGCCCCGGGAACAAACUGUCUAAACCAGGGGACAGGCAGACGAUUCAGACCAAGAUUCCAGCUAACUUUACU